rnacentral:rRNA from 1 species
UACAGAGGUCCCGAGCGUUGUUCGGAUUUAUUGGGCGUAAAGGGUGCGUAGGCGGCGGAGUAAGUUGGGUGUGAAACUCCCGGGGCUUAACCUCGGAAUGGCAUUCAAUACUGCUUCGCUAGAGUACUGGAGAGGAGGGCUGGAAUUUACGGUGUAGCAGUGAAAUGCGUAGAUAUCGUAAGGAAGGCCGGUGGCGAAAGCGAGCCUCUGGACAGUUACUGACGCUGAUGCACGAAGGCCAGGGGAGCAAACGGG